UCUCUUUGUCUCAUGUAGAAUCUCUCCAUCACGCUCUAUUAUUUCCUCUCCGUCUCUGGUUCAUCCAUUCAGGGUUACAGCGACUGGAACAAACACUGUGGCAGCUGGAAACUCAAGAUGCUUUAAUCUGAACCUCAGGAAGCAGAACUGGAACCAGAUGCAAUAAAACAAAAGAAAGAAACAGGCGUAGGGACACAAGGACCUGCAAAGCAAACCGGGCAAAAUGGCUCCACUUGUUUCAGCGUCCUCUCUACUCACCAGGUGAGCGUUCGACGUCUGGAGGAUCCGGAUGUUGAGCCUUUCCUGUGGUUUGAGAUGAAAAAGUCUCAACGGAGGUUUUUGAACAAACGUAACAAUGCGUUAUUCGACUGGCACAUAUGUAGGGUGAAGCAGUUCUGUGUGACGGAGAUGUCUGGAUUCAUUUUGGAAUCUGAAGGUAAACGGUUGAAACAAACUGGCCAACUCGUCGACCCACGCGGCUGCCGUCGAUUCGGCAGCUUUCACACCAUGAGACCACACAGUGGGACGACCUGGGAAAGCCAGAUCCCCGGUGAAAGAACUCCUGCCCCUCUGCGCGGACAAGUGAGACGGUUUGGGCUCCGAUUCACGCCGCAAACGGCGCACACAGCGACAGCGACGGAGCACCGGCCGGCACCGGCUUCUCGAAGCGUUGGCGUUAUACAGGGAGCAGGCGUGUUCCUCUGCUGGCUGAAAGGAAUCCCUUCUUUGGAAGAGUGCGUCGAGUGUAACGGUCCCCACCGAGCCCGACAGGUGCUCAGCUGCUGAUGAAGUGAAUUUCAUUUGAAACACAUAAUAAAUUCACCGUUUAAAGGUUAUAUUCUCACUCCAUUCGUUGUAUCGGAGCGGAGUCUGGGUGAAGGCUGCGUUUACUGACACAAGCGCCUGGGAGCUCUCCAGCGUAAACACCGUCUCCUCCGUCCCACCAGUUGGGGAUAAAGUUUCCAAGUUGCUUAUGAGUGGA
ensembl:lncRNA